GCGAUGAGCUGAAUUGUGUAAGCCGGGGAACAUUCCAUCUGGAACAUGCGAAUGUGGCGCAUGGUUCUCCGCCUCAAUACGCAAAAAGGCGCCUGUCAAUUGACAGGCGCC
rfam:Bacillus sp. B-jedd genome assembly, contig: CONTIG000001